GGCGGAGUGUCAGGUUUAGUUUUCUGCUCCUCCUCCCCUUCCUGCCGCAUUCACAGCAGGAUCCUGACUCUCAGCUUCUUGCCCUUUCCAGAAUCAGCAAAUACAUCCAGACAUACCUCUUUAAGAUGCCUGACCCUGAAAUAACUGACCUUUCACCAUCAUCUCUCAACAAAUAAUUCAACGUGUUCUCCACCAACAGAAAAAAGCUGACCCAGUUGACUAUGCUGUUGAAUGAGAAACUUGAUGUUUUGUAUUGAACAAAAGGAAGGACUGACCAAGAUUAAUUUUGUCUGUCUUGACCAAGCUGCCAGCCUUGUUCCUUGCACGUCCCUAUUCGUUGCAUCCCAGCCCUGACUACCUUGAAACCAAUCUUGCAGCUAUAGGACUGCAGAGAAAACCAACUUAGAUUGCAGGGGAGAAAAAGGGAAAAUGGACAACAACAGAUGCUAACUAUUCCAAAUUAUCAGCCUCGCCCGAGUUCCCCCUCCCCUCUUUCCCCAUGGCCUAAUAGUGCUUUUUCACUGCUCUUGUCCUGACUAUAAAACUCAACCACCCCUCUGCCUUCUUGAGAACUGAGGUCUACUCAAAGUAGCUAUAAAUAAUGUCUUCUUUGCUCAUUUAA